rnacentral:rRNA from 1 species
UACGUAGGAGACGAGCGUUGUCCGGAGUUACUGGGCGUAAAGGGUGCGCAGGCGGCCUGGCGCGUCGCGAGUGAAAUCUCCUGGCUCAACUGGGAGGGUGGUCGCGAGACGGCUGGGCUUGAGGCUCGGUGAGGGCGUGGAAUUGCCGGGUGGAGCCGGGUGAAAUGCGUAGAAGAUCCGGAGGAACACCGACGGCGUACGGCAGCGCCGUAGACGACGACCUGACGCUCAGGCACGAAAGCGGCGGGGAGCGAAACAGG